rnacentral:lncRNA from 1 species
GUGGCAUCUGAUAUGGCCCUUUUGCUGAUGUGGAAUAUAACGUGGGAGCUGAUGUGUCAUUUUUUACAACGUGGCGGCUGAUGUGGCAACUGACGUGGCAGUUGUUGUGGCAACUGACGUGGGAGUGUUAGGCCAAUACGUUGAAAGUUGAGAGUGCUGGUGUACAAAUCGAAAGUUGGGAGUGUGUUAUCGGCCAAUUGGUAAAAAUUAAGUUUAUUUAAUAUUUUCUUUUGUUGGAUUCCUGCUGAUCCAAAAGCCCCAAAUAAACAUAUAUUUUCAGCCCCCAAAAUUUGAAUGUUCAAGUUUUGCCACCGGUUCAAUUUACUUCGGGUUGAGUAUUCAAUAGGUUUUGGUGGUUUAUAAAUACCAUUUAUGACUCCUCUUUGCAAUAGUCGAGUACGGUCAGUACACUUUGGUCGUUGUAUCUUCAAUCUCUCCAUUAUUCAGUGUUAGAAUCUAUGGUUGUUAAGGACUUAAGAGCAUUCACAUCCGUUCUUUCACCCUAAAAUU